rnacentral:lncRNA from 1 species
CACAAAAGUAGCCUGUGGCUGCCAUGCUAACCUCUGGGAUAUUUUUUCUUCUGUGCCAGUAAUGAUUCGUUAGAAUGAACUAAACUGAUGCAAGUUCCCAGCAGGACUAGACGCUUUUCCUGAUGAGGCAGAAAUGAGAUGUGAACCCUCUGUCAGCUGUGUGGAAGGGCUGGGCUUCAAGCAAGAUUUAGGUAUUAGGGAGUGUUGGACAAUGUUGGUUCCCAACAGGGAAUUUGGAAAAUUUCAGUGAAAAGAGGAGUCUUACAUUUUGAAAUCAACAUAAUCGUAUCCUUUUCCCAGUGUUUCAUGACACAUUGACAAUUCAUGAUUUGCCAGAUAUCAGAGGUCUUUACCUAGAUUUCUCUUCUGAGCCAGCCUAUGCAAAGCACUGCACAUAGGUG